ACAACUUUCAACAAUGGAUCUCUUGGCUCUCGCAUCGAUGAAGAACGCAGCGAAAUGCGAUAAGUAAUGUGAAUUGCAGAAUUCAGUGAAUCAUCGAAUGUUUGAACGCACCUUGCGCUCCUUGGUACUCUGAGGAGCAUGCCUGUUUGAGUGUCGUUAAA
rnacentral:rRNA from 1 species